UACGCGGGGGGCAAGCGUUGUUCGGAAUUACUGGGCGUAAAGGGCUGGUAGGCGGCCAACUAAGUCGGAUGUGAAAUCCCCAGGCUUAACCUGGGAACUGCAUCCGAUACUGGUCGGCUUGAAUCCGGGAGAGGGAUGCAGAAUUCCAGGUGUAGCGGUGAAAUGCGUAGAUAUCUGGAGGAAUACCGGUGGCGAAGGCGGCAUCCUGGACCGGCAUUGACGCUGAACAGCGAAAGCUAGGGGAGCAAACGGG
rnacentral:rRNA from 1 species